GAUGAACGCUGGCGGCGUGCCUAAUACAUGCAAGUCGAACGAACAGACGAGGCGCUUGCUCCUCGGACGUUAGCGGAACGCGGGUGAGAAACACGUGGAUAACCUACCUAUCAGACUGGGAUCACUUCGGAAAACCGGCGCUAAUACCGUAUAAUAUCUUGCACCGCAUGGUUCGAUGGUGAAAGUCGGUGUUGCUGGCACUAAUAGAGGCAUACGCGCCGCAUUAGGUAGUUGGGAAGGUAACGGCUUACCAAGGCAACGAUGCGUAGGCGAACUGAGAGGGGGAUAGGCGACACGGGAACGGAGACACGGUCCAGACGCCUACGGGAGGCAGCAGAAGGGAAUCGUCCGCAAUGGGCGAAAGCCUGACAGAGCAACGCCGCGUGAGUGAUGAAGGUGUUCGGAGCGGAAAACUGGGUUACUAGGGAAGAACAAAUGUGUAAGUAGACAUGGACGGCUUGACGGUACCUAAUCAGAAAGCCACGGCUAACUACGUG
rnacentral:rRNA from 1 species